rnacentral:rRNA from 1 species
CGUGUAGGCGGUUUAUUAAGUCAGGUGUGAAAGCCCUUGGCUCAACCAAGGAAGUGCAUCUGAAACUGAUAAACUUGAGUACGGGAGAGGAGAGUGGAAUUCCUGGUGUAGAGGUGAAAUUCGUAGAUAUCAGGAGGAACACCGGUGGCGAAGGCGACUCUCUGGACCGAUACUGACGCUGAGACGCGAAAGCGUGGGGAGCAAACA